rnacentral:rRNA from 1 species
UACAGAGGUCUCGAGCGUUGUUCGGAUUCAUUGGGCGUAAAGGGCGCGUAGGCGGCGGGGUAAGUCUGGUGUGAAAUCUCGGAGCUCAACUCCGAAAUUGCACUGGAUACUGCUCUGCUAGAGGGCUGGAGAGGAGAUCGGAAUUCACGGUGUAGCAGUGAAAUGCGUAGAUAUCGUGAGGAAGACCAGUGGCGAAGGCGGAUCUCUGGCCCGGUACUGACGCUGAGGUGCGAAAGCGUGGGGAGCAAACAGG